CCGGACGCGGCACCAGCGUCUCGCACACGAAAACCACACCGGGCCCAAGGACAAGAUGUGCGACUACUGCGGGAAGGCUUUCAAGACAAAGAAAAUGCUCUCGGAUCACAUAAACUCGCACACAGGCGCGCGGCCGUAUGUGUGCGCGCUGUGCGGGGCGGACUUCGGGCGCAGUAGCGCCCUCUACCUGCACGGCCGGUACAAGCACAAGAUACCCAAGAA